UGAAGUGAACCCAUGCUUUUGUCCUUGUUACGUUUCAGUUUAUUUUCAUGCUGCUGUGGUUGUGUCCCCUGCACCACUAGUCAGCCUCACUUCACCUCACCUCACGUGGGUGAAUAGUUCAUCCUCCCAGCUGCGAUUGCACCAGCCUCUGCCCUGAUAGAAAUACACAGAAGAAGAAGUUGGAGUAUGUGACGCAACGCUCUAUUUCUUUUCUCUGUAAAAACCCAAAGCGCGAAAAGUACAGCAUUUCAUCAGCAUUUUGUUUCAACAGUCACACAUCCUUUUUACAUGUUGAAGUUGUCGUUAGUGAGAGAUUGGCAGACUUCUUUACAAGGGAAAGUGAGAAAUGUGUUUUAAAAGCACGCUCAUGUUGACUGCCAUGUUUCUCCUGAAGCAGUCAGGUGUUCAGUGUGGAGUGAGU